CUGGCUCAGGAUGAACGCUGGCGGCGUGCCUAAUACAUGCAAGUCGUACGAGGGAAGUCCAGCUUGCUGGACGGAACGAGUGGCGAACGGGUGAGUAAUACGUAAGCAACCUGCCUGCAAGGACUGGGAUAACACCUGGAAACGGGCGCUAAUACCGGAUAGGUAACAAAGGGGCAUCCCUAUGUUAUUAAAGGUUAGAAACACAAGCAGAUGGGCUUACGGUGCAUUAGCUAGUUGGUGAGGUAACGGCCCACCAAGGCGAUGAUGCAUAGCCGGCCUGAGAGGGUGAACGGCCACAUUGGGACUGAGACACGGCCCAGACUCCUACGGGAGGCAGCAGUAGGGAAUUUUCGGCAAUGGACGAAAGUCUGACCGAGCAACGCCGCGUGAGUGAAGAAGGUUUUCGGAUUGUAAAGCUCUGUUGUAAGGGAAGAACAGCACGGAAAGAAUCCGUGAAUGACGGUACCUUACCAGAAAGCCACGGCUAACUACGUGCCAGCAGCCGC
rnacentral:rRNA from 1 species